AGCAGCCGCGGUAAUUCCAGCUCCAAUAGCGUAUAUUAAAGUUGUUGCAGUUAAAAAGCUCGUAGUUGAAUUUCGGGAUCAAAUUGUUGGUCGUGCUUCGGUACGCACUGGCAUUAUUGGUUCCUACCUUCUGAAGAACCGCGAUGUCAUUAAUUUGGUGUCGUGGGGAAUCAGGACUGUUACUUUGAAAAAUUAGAGUGUUUAAAGCAGGCUUACGCUUGAAUACAUUAGCAUGGAAUAAUGAAAUAGGACGUUUGAUUCUAUUUUGUUGGUUUCUAGGAUCGACGUAAUGAUUAAUAGGGAUAGUUGGGGGCAUUAGUAUUCAAUUGUCAGAGGUGAAAUUCUUGGAUUUAUUGAAGACUAACUACUGCGAAAGCAUUUGCCAAGGAUGUUUUCAUUAAUCAAGAACGAAAGUUAGGGGAUCGAAGACGAUCAGAUACCGUCGUAGUCUUAACCAUAAACUAUGCCGACUAGGGAUCGGAUGAUGUUAAUUUUUAAUGACUCAUUCGGCGCCUUAACC
rnacentral:rRNA from 1 species